rnacentral:rRNA from 1 species
GACGAACGCUGGCGGCGUGCCUAAUACAUGCAAGUCGAGCGCAGGAAAUCAUCCGAACCCUUCGGGGGGACGUUGAUGGAAUGAGCGGCGGACGGGUGAGUAACACGUAAAGAACCUGCCCUCAGGUCUGGGAUAACCACGAGAAAUCGGGGCUAAUACCGGAUGGGUCAUCGGACCGCAUGGUCCGAGGAUGAAAGGCGCUUCGGCGUCGCCUGGGGAUGGCUUUGCGGUGCAUUAGCUAGUUGGUGGGGUAAUGGCCCACCAAGGCGACGAUGCAUAGCCGACCUGAGAGGGUGAUCGGCCACACUGGGACUGAGACACGGCCCAGACUCCUACGGGAGGCAGCAGUAGGGAAUCUUCCACAAUGGACGAAAGUCUGAUGGAGCAACGCCGCGUGAACGAUGAAGGCCUUCGGGUCGUAAAGUUCUGUUGUAAGGGAAGAACAAGUGCCGCAGGCAAUGGCGGCACCUUGACGGUACCUUGCGAGAAAGCCA